UGGUUCUGGCAUCGAUGAAGAACGCAGCGAAAUGCGAUAAGUAAUGUGAAUUGCAGAAUUCAGUGAAUCAUCGAAUCUUUGAACGCAUAUUGCGCCCCUUGGUAUUCCGGGGGGCAUGCCUGUUCGAGCGUCAUUAUAACCAAUCCAGCCUGGCUGGGUGUUGGGUCUCGCUGUAUAGCGGGCCUUAAAAUCAGUGGCGGUGCUCUUAGGCUCUACGCGUAGUAACUUUCUCGCUAUAGAGCCCUGGGAGGUGCCUGCCAGCAACCCUAAAUUUUCUUAGGUUGACCUCGGAUCAGGUAGGGAUACCCGCUGA
rnacentral:misc_RNA from 1 species